GACGAACGCUGGCGGCAGGCCUAACACAUGCAAGUCGAGCGGAGCGGAGGACGGGUGAGUAAUACCUAGGAAUCUGCCUGGUAGUGGGGGAUAACGUUAGGAAACGGAAGCUAAUACCGCAUACUAUCAGAUGAGCCUAGGUAGGAUUAGCUAGUUGGUGAGGGAAUGGCUCACCAAGGCGACGAUCCGUAACUGGUCUGAGAGGAUGAUCAGUCACACUGGAACUGUGACCCGUUCCAGACUCCUACGGGAGGCAACAGUGGGGAAUAUUGUACAAUGGGCGAAAGCCUGAUCCAGCCAUGCCGCUUGUGUGAAGAAGGUCUUCGGAUUGUAAAGCUCUUUAAGUUGGGAGGCGUUACCGACAGAAUAAGCACCGGCUAACUCUGUGCCAGCCGCCGCGGUAAUAC
rnacentral:rRNA from 1 species